UCCUCUCUUAUGUUGGUUAUUUAUGGAUGGCAGUGUGGGAGUAUUAAAUUAAGAUAGCUUUUUUAAUAUGAGGAAUUGGACAGCUGCAUUUUUUAUUUCUCCUUUCAAAAGUUGUUGAGUCAUAAUAAAUUUGCCUAUGUUCACGUAAAAUCAAGGAAGCUAAAUGAGCAUUUACUUAUUAACUUGAUCGCAAAUUGAACCAACUCAAGUAUAAUCCAUCUUGAUCUAUUUUCCUUCUCGUAUUUCAUCUUCUCUGGAAAUAUUUUUGCUUUGCUUUAUAACAUUGUUAAAUCGGAUCGUUACUUGCCUCCUUUACUCUAUUUUCG
rnacentral:lncRNA from 1 species